AUUCGACUGCGGAAGGGCCCCCCAUCGUUGCUCUUGUGGACCAUGCCAUGGAGUAUACAAAAAAGCCUGAGCUUGUGCGGUCUCCCAUGGUGCCCUUGCCAAUGACUAAGAAGCUGCGGUUUAACGUCACACCUGAGAUCAAGAACGACAUAGAGAAGGUCAAACAGAACAUUAGCAUCAUGAUCCAGGACCUGGACAUCAUGAUGCUGGUAUUCCAUCACUUUGGAAAGGACUUUUCCAAGUCAGAGAAGCUAAGCCCUGAUGCCUUCAUCCAGAUAGCCCUGAAGCUGGCAUACUACAGGAUCUAUGGGCAGGCGUGUGCCACAUAUGAAAGUGCCUCUCUGCGCAUGUUUCACCUGGACCGCACUGACACCAUCUGCUCAGCCUCCAUAGACUCGCUGGCCUUUGUCAAAGGCAUGGAUGACUCCAAAGUGCCGGAGCACCAGAAGGUGGAGCUGCUUCGGAAGGCUGUGCAAGCCCACCUAGCCUACACUGACCGAGCUAUCCGAGGGGAGGCCUUUGACCGGCACCUGCUGGGUCUGAAGCUGCAAGCCAUCGAGGACCUGGUGAGCAUGCCUGGCAUCUUCAUGGACACCUCCUACACCAUUGCCAUGCAUUUCAACCUUUUCACCAGCCAGGUCCCUGCCAAGACAGUGUCAUGUUCUUCGGACCUGUGGUCCCAGAUGGUUAUGGCAUCUGCUAUAACCCCACAGAGGCCCAUAUCAACUUUUCCGUGUCAGCCUACAAAACAGCUGUGCUGAGACCAACACUGCCCGAAUGGCUCACCAGUUGAAGAAAGCUCUGCUGGACAUGCAAACCCUACUUCAGAACCACCCCAGAGCUAACCUCUGAGCCCAGACCUGCCGGUUCCACAGCCAACCCACUUUGGAAUGGACACCUGCCAUGGCUCACUUCCUGGGCUCCAGUGCCCUCCAGUUUGAGCCAGAAAAGCAUUCUCUAGGAAGGCCCCAAGGUCCACGGCAAGUGCCUUCUAGGCCUGUUCUCAGCACCUGCCAUAGUCCAUGGCUGAGUCCAGAGGCUGAACAAGACUAAGGCCCAGAUCCCCAAUGUAUCCUCCACCUCCUUGAACCAUGGGGAAGCAAACCAGGCCAGCCGGUCCCUUCUCACAGCAGGGGCUGGAAAGAGUCCUUUUCCUUAGCCCUGGCCAAUCUCUUUCAUCUCCACAGCCAGGCCAAAAUUUGUCUUCAUUGGUAAAUGCCCAAGGACCAGGAGUCAGAGGAUUAUCUAUUGAUGAGGGGUUCUCAGCCUCCCCAUAGUUAAGGGUUAAGUCUUUGUAACCAAAGGGAUAUCUGAGGACAGCCUCCACCGCCCCACCUCAAGGUGCCUUCUCCCAGCUGCCACACUCUGGUUACUCUUGAGCCCAAGACUUCUUGCUUCCAUUCAGCAUGAUUCUUGCUGCAGUCAUAGUGGCAUAAUGUGAUUAUGCCAGGUGAUCAAUAAAGGAAAGGAGUGCUGGGGA